UAGAGUUUGAUCCUGGCUCAGAAUCAACGCUGGCGGCGCGCUUAACACAUGCAAGUCGCACGAGAAAGGGGAGCAAUCCCUGAGUACAGUGGCGUACGGGUGAGUAACACGUGGAUGAUCUACCUUCUAGUGGGGAAUAACCCUGGGAAACCGGGGCUAAUACCGCAUAAGCUCGAGAGAGGAAAGCAGCAAUGCGCUGGAAGAGGAGUCCGCGGCCGAUUGGCUAGUUGGCAGGGUAAGAGCCUACCAAGGCAGAGAUCGGUAGCCGGCCUGAGAGGGCACACGGCCACACUGGCACUGAAACACGGGCCAGACUCCUACGGGAGGCAGCAGUGGGGAAUCUUGCACAAUGGGGGAAACCCUGAUGCAGCGACGCCGCGUGAGCGAUGAAGCCCUUCGGGGUGUAAAGCUCUUUCGGCAGGGAAGAUUAUGACGGUACCUGCAGAAGCAGCUGCGGCUAACUACGUGCCAGCAGCCGCGGUAAUACGUAGGCAGCGAGCGUUGUUCGGAGUUACUGGGCGUAAAGGGUGUGUAGGCGGUUGUUUAAGUUUGGUGUGAAAUCUCCCGGCUCAACUGGGAGGGUGCGCCGAAUACUGAAUGACUUGGAGUGCGGGAGAGGAAAGUGGAAUUCCCGGUGUAGCGGUGAAAUGCGUAGAUAUCAGGAGGAACACCGGUGGUGUAGACGGCUUUCUGGACCGUAACUGACGCUGAGACACGAAAGCGUGGGUAGCAAACAGGAUUAGAUACCCUGGUAGUCCACGCCCUAAACGAUGCAUAUUUGGUGUGGGCAGUUCAUUCUGUCCGUGCCGGAGCUAACGCGUUAAAUAUGCCGCCU
rnacentral:rRNA from 1 species